rnacentral:rRNA from 1 species
UACGUAGGGUGCAAGCGUUGUCCGGAAUUAUUGGGCGUAAAGAGCUCGUAGGCGGUCUGUCGCGUCGGCUGUGAAAACCCGGAGCUCAACUCCGGGCCUGCAGUCGAUACGGGCAGACUGGAGUUCGGCAGGGGAGACUGGAAUUCCUGGUGUAGCGGUGAAAUGCGCAGAUAUCAGGAGGAACACCGGUGGCGAAGGCGGGUCUCUGGGCCUUACCUGACGCUGAGGAGCGAAAGCGUGGUGAGCGAACAGG